GACGAACGCUGGCGGCGUGCCUAAUACAUGCAAGUAGAACGCUGAAGCGAGGAGCUUGCUCUUCUUGGAUGAGUUGCGAACGGGUGAGUAAAGCGUAGGUAACCUCCCUUGUAGCGGGGGAUAACUAUUGGAAACGAUAGCUAAUACCGCAUAACAAUGGAUGACACAUGUCAUUUAUUUGAAAGGGGCAAUUGCUCCACUACAAGAUGGACCUGCGUUGUAUUAGCUAGUAGGUGAGGUAAUGGCUCACCUAGGCGACGAUACAUAGCCGACCUGAGAGGGUGAUCGGCCACACUGGGACUGAGACACGGCCCAGACUCCGCGGGAGGGAGCCGUAGGGAAUCUUCGGCAAUGGGGGCAAACCGGACCGAGGAACGCCGGGUGAGUGCAGAAGGUUUUCGGGUCGUAAAGCUCUGGUGGUAGUCAAGAAAGGAUGUGAGUGUGGAAAGUUCACACUGUGACGGUAGCUUACCAGAAAGCGACGGCUAACUACGUG
rnacentral:rRNA from 1 species